rnacentral:lncRNA from 1 species
CCUAAUUUUAGUUGCUUAUUUUUUUCUCCUCUUUGUUCCUGUUAUUGUGUUUACAUUUAGGUCUUUCUGAUUCUGAACAAUACCUUUGCGCUGUCAGCUCCACUAGACUUGCUGAAUAUCAAAAGACACCUUGAGGACCAGUAGGACUUUGAGCAGAGCAGAUAAUUUCUCUUCCUUAGGGGCUGCUUUUCUGGGGCUCAGGACAAAAUGGUCGUGGCCCAUUUCAUCCUGACCUCCUCACUAUGCUGAUCUCAGCCGUACUGCUCCAAAUGGAAAGUGAUGUCACCACUGUCAGUGCAGGAAUUGCAGCAGGUCCUUGGUCCCACAAGUGCUGAACUGGCUGCACUUACCCUGUUCCUCAAGGCAGUCAAACUGGGCUGAAGAAGGAAAUUUUUCUCAUUACCGGCAGAAGACUAGUGCAAUGCGCUUCUUCACCACCAGUUUGUAGGUGCCUGGGCUAGUUUCAUCUGAACAAACAUAUCACAUGGCCUCAUUUCUGCUUCCAGAUCUUGAUUUUCACACCACCUGUGGCAAUCAUUCCAAAUUUCAAGUACUCUACCAAGAUCAUCUUGACCUCGCGCAUGUUUGUGGGAAGUCUGCAGCUCUAACAACCAGAUCUCUGACCCAAAAAAAUCAGGCUUCCCAUGGA